AGACGAGAAGACCCUAUGGAGCUUUAGACACUAGACAGCCCACGUUAAAAUCACCCUUCAGCGGGCGAUAAACAUUGUGACUCCUGUCUCUCCUGUCUUCGGUUGGGGCGACCGCGGAGGAUAAAAGAGCCUCCAUGUGGACCGAGGUUUACUAACCUCACAACUAAGAGCUGCAGCUCCAAGCAACAGAAAUUCUGACCAAAAUGAUCCGGCACAUGCCGAUUAACGGAACAAGUUACCCUAGGGAUAACAGCG
rnacentral:rRNA from 1 species